AGCGAACGCUGGCGGCAGGCUUAACACAUGCAAGUCGAGCGGGCAUCUUCGGAUGUCAGCGGCAGACGGGUGAGUAACACGUGGGAACGUACCCUUCGGUUCGGAACAACUCUGGGAAACUGGAGCUAAUACCGGAUACUCCCUUCUGGUGAAAGGUUUACUGCCGUAGGAUCGGCCCGCGUCUGAUUAGCUAGUUGGUGGGGUAACGGCCUACCAAGGCGACGAUCAGUAGCUGGUCUGAGAGGAUGAUCAGCCACACUGGGAAUGAGACACGGACCAGAAUCGUACGGGAGGGAGCAGAAGGGAAUAUUGGACAAGGGGCGCAAGCGUGACAAAGCCAUGCCGGGUGAGUGAUGAAGGGGUUAGGAUUGUAAAGCUGUUUUGUACGGGACGAUAAUGACGGUAACGGAAGAAUAAGCCCCGGCUAACUUCGUG
rnacentral:rRNA from 1 species